rnacentral:rRNA from 1 species
CAGUCGCCGCGGUAAUACAGAGGGUGCGAGCGUUAAUCGGAUUUACUGGGCGUAAAGCGUGCGUAGGCGGCUUUUUAAGUCGGAUGUGAAAUCCCUGAGCUUAACUUAGGAAUUGCAUUCGAUACUGGGAAGCUAGAGUAUGGGAGAGGAUGGUAGAAUUCCAGGUGUAGCGGUGAAAUGCGUAGAGAUCUGGAGGAAUACCGAUGGCGAAGGCAGCCAUCUGGCCUAAUACUGACGCUGAGGCGCGAAAGCUAGGGGAGCAAACAGGAUUAGAUACCCGAGUAGUCCCUGUCUCUUAUAC